rnacentral:rRNA from 1 species
CUCUGUGUUAAUUGUGAAGGCACCAGUUCCAGUAUGAUCUUGGAAGCUAAGCAUGGUCAGAUCUGGUUUGUACUUGGAUGGGAAACCUCCAGGGAACUCAAGGUGCAGUGU